GUGCCAGCAGCCGCGGUAAUACGAGAGGCCCAAACGUUAUUCGGAAUUACUGGGCUUAAAGAGUUCGUAGGCGGCAUGAAAAGUAGGGUGUGAAAGCCCUCGGCUCAACCGAGGAAUUGCGCUCUAAACUGUCGUGCUCGAGGAAUCUAGAGGUGAGCGGAACUGAUGGUGGAGCGGUGAAAUGCGUUGAUAUCAUCAGGAACACCGGAGGCGAAGGCGGCUCACUGGGGAUUUUCUGACGCUGAGGAACGAAAGCCAGGGGAGCGAACGGGAUUAGAUACCCCCGUAGUCC
rnacentral:rRNA from 1 species